GUCGACAGUCAAGCAGAUCUUCUGCUACUGGUCAAUUAGCACAUCAAGUGGCAACAUUUUAUCUAUAAAUUUCGUUUCGAUAUCAACUGACGUCUCCUGCAAAUCAUUUGUUGCCGUUUAUCAAAGAACACAAACUGGAGACACUUUGUUUGGAAAAUACUGUGGCACUCAAAAUCCAGGAGUGAUACGCAUUCUCGGACCAAAUGCUUACAUAGUUUAUCAAUCAGAAGAAGAUAUACCAAGAAAUGGCUUCCUUGCAAGAGUAAACUAUUGUCGUCCUUUUUACUACGGCUCUGAAUUAUGCACUAAUCCGUGCACCUGUGUACAGGCGAAUUCCUUAUCCUGUAACAGCCUUACUGGAGCGUGCACCUGCAAAUCUGGCUGGACAUCUGUGGACUGUUCUAUUGAUAUUAAUGAAUGUCUUCAAACUCCUUGUUCUCUAACUCAAAAAUGUAUCAAUACUCCAGGAAGUUACUCCUGUCAAGCGGGUACAAUAAAACCGUCUUAAAUAAUUAAUUAGCUUUUUGUAAUGCGGGCUUAAAAUGGCUC